rnacentral:rRNA from 1 species
GAUCAUGGCUCAGGAUGAACGCUAGCGACAGGCUUAACACAUGCAAGUCGGAGGGGCAGCAUGAGGUAGCAAUACCUUGAUGGCGACCGGCGCACGGGUGAGUAACGCGUAUGCAACCUGCCCGAUACCGGGGUAUAGCCCAUGGAAACGUGGAUUAACACCCCAUAGUACUUUUAUCCUGCAUGGGAUGUGAGUUAAAUGUUCAAGGUAUCGGGUGGGCAUGCGUCCUAUUAGUUAGG